CCUCGCAUGAAGUCGGAAUUGCUAGUAAUCGCGGAUCAGCAUGCCGCCGGUGAAUACGUUCCCGGGCCUUGUACACACCGCCCCGUCACACCAUGGGAGCCGGUAAUACCCGAAGUCAGUAGUCCAACCACGUGAGGACGCUGCCGAAGGUAGGAUUGGCGACUGGGGUGAAGUCGUAACAAGGUACC
rnacentral:rRNA from 1 species